rnacentral:rRNA from 1 species
UACGUAGGGUGCGAGCGUUAAUCGGAAUUACUGGGCGUAAAGCGUGCGCAGGCGGUCUGUUAAGACCGAUGUGAAGUCCCCCGGGCUUAACCUGGGAACUGCAUUGGUGACUGGCAGGCUUUGAGUGUGGCAGAGGGAGGUAGAAUUCCACGUGUAGCAGUGAAAUGCGUAGAGAUGUGGAGGAAUACCGAUGGCGAAGGCAGCCUCCUGGGCCAACACUGACGCUCAUGCACGAAAGCGUGGGGAGCAAACAGGA